UACGUAGGGGGGCAAGCGUUGUCCGGAUUUAUUGGGCGUAAAAGGCUUGUAGGUGGCCACGCCAAGUCGGAUGUGAAAUCUCCCGGCUCAACUGGGAGGGGUCAUUCGAUACUGGCGGGCUCGAGGCCGGUAGGGGGAAGUGGAAUUCCCGGUGUAGUGGUGGAAUGCGUAGAUAUCCGGAGGAACACCGGUGGCGAAGGCGGCUUCCUGGACCGACACUGACGCUGAGGCGCGAAAGCUAGGGGAGCAAACGGG
rnacentral:rRNA from 1 species